CAGUCGCCACGGGAAUACGUAGGGUGCAAGCGUUAAUCGGAAUUACUGGGCGUAAAGCGUGCGCAGGCGGUUAUAUAAGACAGAUGUGAAAUCCCCGGGCUCAACCUGGGAACUGCAUUUGUGACUGUAUAGCUAGAGUACGGCAGAGGGGGAUGGAAUUCCGCGUGUAGCAGUGAAAUGCGUAGAUAUGCGGAGGAACACCGAUGGCGAAGGCAAUCCCCUGGGCCUGUACUGACGCUCAUGCACGAAAGCGUGGGGAGCAAACAGGAUUAGAUACCCGAGUAGUCCCUGUCUCUUAUAU
rnacentral:rRNA from 1 species